GCGGUGGAGCAUGUGGUUUAAUUCGAAGCAACGCGAAGAACCUUACCAAAUCUUGACAUCCUCUGACCCCUCUAGAGAUAGAGUUUUCCCCUUCGGGGGACAGAGUGACAGGUGGUGCAUGGUUGUCGUCAGCUCGUGUCGUGAGAUGUUGGGUUAAGUCCCGCAACGAGCGCAACCCUUAAGCUUAGUUGCCAUCAUUAAGUUGGGCACUCUAAGUUGACUGCCGGUGACAAACCGGAGGAAGGUGGGGAUGACGUCAAAUCAUCAUGCCCCUUAUGAUUUGGGCUACACACGUGCUACAAUGGACAAUACAAAGGGUAGCGAAACCGCGAGGUCAAGCAAAUCCCAUAAAGUUGUUCUCAGUUCGGAUUGUAGUCUGCAACUCGACUAUAUGAAGCUGGAAUCGCUAGUAAUCGUAGAUCAGCAUGCUACGGUGAAUACGUUCCCGGGUCUUGUACACACCGCCCGUCACACCACGAGAGUUUGUAACACCCGAAGCCGGUGGAGUAACCAUUUGGAGCUAGCCGUCGAAGGUGGGACAAAUGAUUGGGGUGAAGUCGUAACAAGGUAGCCGUAUCGGAAGGUGCGGCUGGAUCACCUCCUUU
rnacentral:rRNA from 1 species